UUGCACGCUGGCGGCAGGCCUAACCCAUGCAAGUCGAGCGGAUGAAGGGAGCUUGCUCCUGGAUUCAGCGGCGGACGGGUGGGUAAUGCCUAGGAAUCUGCCUGGUAGUGGGGGAUAACGUCCGGAAACGGGCGCUAAUACCGCAUACGUCCUGAGGGAGAAAGUGGGGGAUCUUCGGACCUCACGCUAUCAGAUGAGCCUAGGUCGGAUUAGCUAGUUGGUGGGGUAAAGGCCUACCAAGGCGACGAUCCGUAACUGGUCUGAGAGGAUGAUCAGUCACACUGGAACUGAGACACGGUCCAGACUCCUACGGGAGGCAGCAGUGGGGAAUAUUGGACAAUGGGCGAAAGCCUGAUCCAGCCAUGCCGCGUGUGUGAAGAAGGUCUUCGGAUUGUAAAGCACUUUAAGUUGGGAGGAAGGGCAGUAAGUUAAUACCUUGCUGUUUUGACGUUACCAACAGAAUAAGCACCGGCUAACUUCGUG
rnacentral:rRNA from 1 species